rnacentral:rRNA from 1 species
GACGAACGCUGGCGGCGUGCCUAAUACAUGCAAGUAGAACGCACAGUUUAUACCGUAGCUUGCUACACCAUACACUGUGAGUUGCGAACGGGUGAGUAACGCGUAGGUAACCUGCCUGGUAGCGGGGGAUAACUAUUGGAAACGAUAGCUAAUACCGCAUAAUAUUGAUUAUUGCAUGAUAAUUGAUUGAAAGAUGCUAUUGCAUCACUACCAGAUGGACCUGCGUUGUAUUAGCUAGUAGGUGAGGUAACGGCUCACCUAGGCGACGAUACAUAGCCGACCUGAGAUGGUGAUCGGCCACACUGGGACUGAGACACGGCCCAGACUCCUACGGGAGGCAGCAGUAGGGAAUAUUCGGCAAUAGACGAAAGUCUGACCGAGCAACGCCGCGUGAGUGAAGAAGGUUUUCGGAUCGUAAAGCUCUGUUGUAAGAGAAGAACGGGUGUGAGAGUGGAAAGUUCACACUGUGACGGUAUCUUACCAGAAAGGGACGGCUAACUACGUG